GAUGAACGCUGGCGGCGUGCCUAACACAUGCAAGUCGAACGGCAGCACAGGAAGCUUGCUCCCUUACGGUUAGCGGCGGACGGGUGAGUAACACGUGUAUAAGCUUCCACUUAUUCGGGGAUAAUAACGGGAAACAACUUCUAAUACCAGAUAAUACGACGUACGGCAUGCUGCAGGGGUGCUUCGGACUUUGGGUGAGUGUAAGAGCCGGUGCCGGAUUAGCUAGUCUGGGGGGUAAGGGCCCACCAAGGCGACGAUCCGUAGCUGAACUGAGAGGAUGAUCGGCCACACUGGAACUGAGACACGGUCCAGACUCCUACGGGAGGCAGCAGUCGGGAAUAUUGGGCAAUGGGCGCAAGCCUGACCCAGCCAGACCGAGUGGGUGAAGAAGGCCUUCGGGUUGUAAAGCCGUCUUUUUGGGUAAGAAAAGCUGUAGGCUAAGACGCCGCUAUAGUGACGGUACCUAAAGAAAAAGCACCGGCUAACUACGUG
rnacentral:rRNA from 1 species